CGAUUGACGAAAAACUUAACAAGGACAAUGAGCGAUCUGCUAAAAAGAUUCAGAGUGAGCUUCUGUUUAGAAUACAGUUAAAAGCAUCAGUCUGCACUAUUAGAAAACCAUUAAAACAACUCAGGUGGACCUAUGGAAAAGCCAGGAAUUAUGGACAGCUGUUUUUACAAAGACACUAUAGUAAAAUUUAAUCAGGUUCCAUAUGUAAAACAACACUUUAAAGAACCACAUCGCUUCUUCCAAGGUGUAUCCAAAAAAUCCACUUAAUGGGAGGCUCGCCAGUCCAACUCCACAAUUAGACACGCACCGAUGGAAGUUGAGACAAUCCAAAUCCAGAAAAGAGUUCACACUUCAAUUAAUUUGAAUGCAGAGCAGAUCACAUUCAGCAACUGACUUCAAUAGAACAUCUCACCAAUGAAAAACCAGAAGAAGAUGCACAAGCAAACAAACAAAGGGGA